rnacentral:rRNA from 1 species
GACGAACGCUGGCGGCGUGCUUAACACAUGCAAGUCGAACGGAAGGGCCCUGCUUUUGUGGGGUGCUCGAGUGGCGAACGGGUGAGUAACACGUGAGUAACCUGCCCUUGACUUUGGGAUAACUUCAGGAAACUGGGGCUAAUACCGGAUAGGAGCUCCUGCUGCAUGGUGGGGGUUGGAAAGUUUCGGCGGUUGGGGAUGGACUCGCGGCUUAUCAGCUUGUUGGUGGGGUAGUGGCUUACCAAGUCUUUGACGGGUAGCCGGCCUGAGAGGGUGACCGGCCACAUUGGGACUGAGAUACGGCCCAGACUCCUACGGGAGGCAGCAGUGGGGAAUAUUGCACAAUGGGCGGAAGCCUGAUGCAGCAACGCCGCGUGCGGGAUGACGGCCUUCGGGUUGUAAACCGCUUUCGCCUGUGACGAAGCGUGAGUGACGGUAAUGGGUAAAGAAGCACCGGCUAACUACGUG